rnacentral:rRNA from 1 species
AUUGAUAACAUUUGAGUGAGUGGCGGACGGGUGGAGUAACACGUGGGUAACCUGCCCUAAAUGGGGGGAGUAACAUUUGGAAACAGAUGCUAAUACCGCAUAAAACCUAAGCACCGCAUGGUGCAAGGUUGAAAGAUGGUUUCGGCUAUCACUUUAGGAUGGACCCGCGGUGCAUUAGUUAGUUGGUGAGGCAAGGGGCUCACCAAGACCGUGAUGCAUAGCCGACCUGAGAGGGUAAUCGGCCACACUGGGACUGAGACACGGCCCAGACUCC